GACGAACGCUGGCGGCGUGCUUAACACAUGCAAGUCGAACGGAAAGGCCCUGCUUUUGUGGGGUGCUCGAGUGGCGAACGGGUGAGUAACACGUGAGUAACCUGCCCUUGACUUUGGGAUAACUUCAGGAAACUGGGGCUAAUACCGGAUAGGAGCUCCUGCUGCAUGGUGGGGGUUGGAAAGUUUCGGCGGUUGGGGAUGGACUCGCGGCUUAUCAGCUUGUUGGUGGGGUAGUGGCUUACCAAGGCUUUGACGGGUAGCCGGCCUGAGAGGGUGACCGGCCACAGUGGGACUGAGAUACGGCCCAGACUCCUACGGGAGGCAGCAGUGGGGAAUAUUGCACAAUGGGCGGAAGCCUGAUGCAGCAACGCCGCGGGCGGGAUGACGGCCUUCGGGUUGUAAACCGCUUUCGCCUGUGACGAAGCGUGAGUGACGGUAAUGGGUAAAGAAGCACCGGCUAACUACGUGC
rnacentral:rRNA from 1 species